rnacentral:rRNA from 1 species
ACGCUCGACACCUACGGGAGGCAGCAGUGGGAAUAUUGCACAAUGGGGGAAACCCUGAUGCAGCGACGCCGCGUGAGUGAAGAAGUAUUUCGGUAUGUAAAGCUCUAUCAGCAGGGAAGAAAAUGACGGUACCUGACUAAGAAGCCCCGGCUAACUACGUGCCAACAGCCGCGGUAAUCUGAGCGGGCUGGCAAGGC